rnacentral:rRNA from 1 species
UACGGGGGGGGCAAGCGUUGUUCGGAAUUACUGGGCGUAAAGGGUCUGUAGGUGGCUUGCUAAGUCAGACGUGAAAUCCCUCGGCUUAACCGGGGAACUGCGUCUGAUACUGGCGAGCUUGAGUGCAGGAGAGGAACGCGGAAUUCCAGGUGUAGCGGUGAAAUGCGUAGAUAUCUGGAAGAACACCGGUGGCGAAGGCGGCGACCUGGUCCGUGACUGACGCUGAGGCGCGAAAGCGUGGGGAGCAAACAGG